rnacentral:rRNA from 1 species
UACGUAGGGGGCAAGCGUUGUCCGGAAUCAUUGGGCGUAAAGAGCGCGUAGGCGGUCCGGUAAGUCGGUUGUGAAAACUGGGGGGCUCAACCCUCAGAGGCCGACCGAUACUGCCGGGCUAGAGUCCGGAAGAGGCGAGUGGAAUUCCUGGUGUAGCGGUGGAAUGCGCAGAUAUCAGGAGGAACACCAACGGCGAAGGCAGCUCGCUGGGGACGGUACUGACACUGACGGCUGAUGACG